CACUGUGUCUCUCCCUCCCAGCAGGCUCACUGGACAUGUGCAAGAUCUCCUGUGCAACCCGUAGCCGGCAGCCGCCACAGCCCGGGACAGUACUGUCUAUGCUGUGGAGCUAGGACAACGACACGUCCUGCAGCUGCCGAAAUCGAUAGCUGCAGGUGUUGGAAUGGUCAGUGCAGCUUUUAGAUAGCAGCGCUGAUAUGGACAGGGGCACAUAAUCAUUUUGUACGCACUGCUGCUGUCAUACAUGGGGAGAAGCGGUAUCAGCAUACAUAACGUGCACUGAUACCACCACUCCCCCAUAAUGAUAGAUAAUACAUCUACCCCAGAGUGCUUCCAGCAAUGCUACCUCGCCUCGGUUUAAUAGACAGCAGCAGAGUGUGAAUGCUGCAGAGACUCAGAGCCAUAGGAGCAUGCAUGCAGCAGGGGCUCCCAUGCGGUGCACAGGAUGAAGCUCAGCCCCACUCCCCGGCCCAGCAUCAUAGACAGCAGUACAGCCCACUGCAACAGCAGGCAGCAUAAGGCAGUUUCAUUGACUGCCAGGUUGCUUGUCCAGGAAAUCUGACAGCAGGGACUACCUGUGACGUGUGUGGACAACACAGCCUCCAGCUUGAAAUGAAACAGGCAUCUUCAGGGCCAUAUGAUCUACUGCAUGAAUAGUGAAUACCAACUGAAGACAAUAUCUGUCCAGGGAGGAUCAGUUUCUUCAGAGGUUCCCCAUUGCAGAGAAACCACUAUAUAGAUUUUUUUCAUAUUUGGUUCCCUGCUGUUAGGAGAUAUCUUCCAGUCCCCAAAAAAGAAAGAAGAACCACAUGCCUGGAGGGUUGUGGUUCUCCAUGCCGCAAUGAAGUGUGGUAUAUGAUGCCAGCAUCAAUUUCCACACUCCCACAUGUGGCUAAAUAUUUAAAAGUGCAAUAAAACAGCACACAAUUUUCCAGCAAGUCAUUCCUAUGGGAAAAGUAUGACAGUCGCAGAAAAACAAACUUAAAAAAAUAAAAAUAAAAUGUACAUGAAGCCAAAAUAUUAAUAACUCAUUUGAAUAAAUUUACAUAAAAUAAUCAAAUUAAGGAGUUUAAGCUGGCUUUGUAUUUACAUAGCUCUGGUAUAUACAAAUAUACAAUAUGUACAAAUGGACAGAGGAGUAAGGGUGAGGGGCUGCCAGAAAGGGGUUGUCCAUGACCGGGGUCUCUUCAUCAGGACUGUCAGCGCUGGUCAUUUAGUAAUAAAAUUCUUUGUCCACCCAACCUGCGAGAAAUUAUACAAAGAAUUG